GAAAACAUUUUUUUGAAAUAAUGCAAUCGAUUUUAGAGUUUUAUUACAUAAGUCCUUUUUAUUUUUAUUUAUUUAUUUAUUUAUUUUUGCGGUGGGACUAGGACACAUGAGAAAGGCAGCUGCGGUGAAAAAUCUUCUUAAAUGGGUUUUCUGCUUGCUGUUUUAUAGCGAUCGCCUCCUACCCAGCCCUGUUAGGUGGGGGAGCCCCAUCAAUCGGCAGCCCUUCCCUGCCUCUCUUCAGAGCACUUGGUUAACUAGAAGGUAUCUAUGUCUCCAAGCACUUGUCAGUCUAAAUCCUCGCAUCGUCCUAGGUCUUCGUGCUGAUAAAUGCUGAGCCACUGAGCUAAGAAGCAGGCUUCUGGAACGGCUGCUUUUCAGAUUCUAGCGUGAAUUCACUUAGGGUUGGAGGGGGAAACAGGCCCCGAAAUUAGUGUAUCACCAUGCCCUCCCCUUCUUCUACAGCAGGGGUGGGUAGCGAUGCCAGAGUCCUCUAUCAGCACUCCUCUUCCCAGAUGUUCUACAUCUACAGGGAGGGGGCUGGUGGAGGCUCACCAGCCAUGUUGCCAGCAUCGCUCUUAAUUAAGGACAGAGAGUAUAGCACAAAAUGUUUAGGCUCCUCCGACCCCGUGGUCUCCUGUGGGUUGAGUCUACUUCAGGGAGCUGUCUAGGGUGUGAUUUUGCUCCGUGAGCACCUCGAGUAUGUUUACUGAGUUUUCCAUUCCCCUCGUCUUUGGCCCAUCCUGGGCUGUCAACUCUUAGCCCUAUUUACGAGCCUCUAUGGUCCCAUCUCUGGAGAGCAAGGAGCAGCUAGAAGCUAUGUCCUUCAGAGGCAGGAAUUGGCAGAUUAAGGAGAACAGCAUGGAAUGACUUUAAAAAGUGUCUGUUACUCAGUCCAUCCCUCACCCUGUCCCUGGCAGUGCCGUGGCAUAGCUGCUUUUCUUACUGUAUUUUGAGCUCCAAGUCUAUAGGACUGAGCAGUUCCAUCUCAGCCUUGUUGAAUUUUUUUUGAAAGGGCUGCAAUGAAUCCAUUUGUAAAGUAGUUCAUCCCAGAGGCAGGUGGGCAGGGUUUGGGGAUGUAACUCCAGGCUAAGCUCCAGCUCCAGGCUUCUGUGGUCCAGCCAAGUGAGCCCUUCAGGGAGGGGCCCUCUUGUGUCAAGUGUGUUUUCUUUUUUGUUUGUUUUGUUUUUUUGCCUGUGAGUGGUUGAUUUGAAUUACUGUUGCAACUCUGUAUCAUUUUGAGGCUAUUUUUAAGGGGGGACUGCAUUUUUGCUACAUCUGUCCCCCCCCCCUCACCACUUCCCCCCAUAUGUGGAAAAUUUGGAAAGCUUGUUUCAGUUGUAUGCACUGGCUUUCUAAAGGUUUGUGUCCUUAAACCUAGAGAGGGUGGGGGUGGGAUGUCUCCCCCCCCCCAGCUUUUCUCCUUUAGGGGAGAUGAGAAACUUUAGUGUGUUCAGACUUUAGUGGACAGCAGAUUAGAGAGAAGUGCGCUUGUCAGUGUCAGGAACUGGGGUUUGCCAGUGAUUAGACUCUGGUAUCAUUUCUGUAGCUAAGAUGCAGGGGGCUCAGAGUGGCCUCUGGGAGCCAGGGAGAAGCCUCUGCAAACCAGCAGGAGGAGGACGUUGGUCCUUGCAAAUGUUUCCCUGCCUUCAGCUCAGUUGUAGGUUUAAAAUGUUUCAAACUUCCUGUGCCUCUCUCUCAAUUUCCACACCAUUGUCUCAGGGGGCUGGUCAGAGUCCAAAAGCAUGAAAUGGAUUUUCACCAGUCACUCACUGACGCCCUGGCAAUUUCCAGCUGUGUGCUCUUGGGAGCUAUUUUGCUACUCCUCUGUCAGGGAGGGUUCUCUCCAGCAGGUGAUUUAUGUCAGUAUCAAGGCUAAUUCCUCAUUUAGCUUUUUUGGGUGUUGAAGUCGUGUAUAGGCACUCGGUUUCGUCUAUACUGGUGGUCCCCAAACGUUGGUGUCUCUCCGAAUCUCCUGAAGAGCUUGUUAAAAUAGAUUGCUGUACCUCUGUCCCGGGGUUUCUAAUUCAGUAGGUCUGAAAUAGGGUCUGAGAAUUUGCAUUUUGCCUAUUAUGUGUCCAGCGUUGUGCUGACCAGGACCUGUGGGACCAGGUGUAGCCUUAGUAGCAGGAGAGGAGGAUGCGAGAAGGUAGUGAGGGCGCUGGCUGGCUGGCAGGGGGUGGAGAGGUCAUUAUAUGGGAAUUUGGAGGUUGUAAACUGCAUCAGAACCUGGCUGAGUAUCAUACCAGUUUUGGUCCUAUCCAGCACAGGCUGUGAAAAAAUUGCCGAGUGUCUGUUGCUAUCUGGCAUUUGUUUAUACAGAACUCUGUAUUCAUUGGCACCCAGAGAGCUAUAGUUUAAUGAUGAUUGAGGUUUGUAUCAAUGGCCCCUAGGUACCACAGAAUGCCAUAGUGCGUCCUUAAUAUCACCGACGAAGUGUUACGUUCAAUGUGCUUGCUCAGCACUGUGUUCAACAGGGUUUGAGUGAUGCGUGUACUUUAUUGUAUUUGGAGCUUUUGCAGAUUAUAAUCCAUAUUGAUUAUAUAAAGUAACUCUUCCUUAUUUUUUUUUUUUGUUAAAUUAACCGAAGCCGCCUUCUCCAGCUACACUGGAUCACGACAAUCACUGCAUGUUCUAAAAAUGAAUCCUUUAAGCUCUAGCAAUACUGUAGGACCUGGAGAUGGAUCCUGAUACAACUGUCAUAAUGUCAGAUGGUGGUUAGAACAAAGUCAUUAUUUUUUAAAUGGAUUGAUAGCUCAGGAAGCUUUAGAUUCACUGAGCAAGUUCUCCACCUGACACGCUGGCAUGGCUUCUGACUGGGUGUGCUUGGUUCUGUAGGCUGACAUUGAAAAUAAACCUUCCCCAUCUCCCAGAGCGUCUCCAGUAGGCAUCUUAGCCAGAGGUGGACAGGUGAUACCUGCCCCAGCUUGACUGAAUUAUCCAAUUUUUGUGCCUUUGGCUGCUUCUCCGCUCUUUGGUACUCUUGGCUUCUUUCUUUUUGAUCACGGUCAGAGGUGUUUGGCUGGAAACAGUUCCUUGCAGGACGAUGGUCUUUAGACACUGAAGGUUUUGGAAUUUCAGAGUUGGGGCUGACCUGAAAGGCUGUCUAGAAGGCAUCUAGAUGACUGUUCUUGGAGGAUGGGGACAGUUAGGUGCCUCUGAUACAGAGUUUACAAGCUUUCUAUAUUGGGAUCACAAAUCCUAUUGCACGAUGUUGUGGAUCCCUCUUUCCUGAAAAACACACAUACAAUUCUGCAUUCAAUUUCAGGGGGGUCUCUGGAUCAUAAUUUGAAAAGGCUGACUAUGUGAGAAAAUUCCCACGUUCUGGGAUGUUGGGAUGCUGGGUCAGCAAGCAUAGGGACUCUCACCCCAGCAUCAUAGCCUUUAGGUAUAAGUGUGAUAGGAACUCCAUGUGAGUGCAUCAGCCAUGCCGCUGUGAUAAAACAUAAGCAUCCCCACCAAAGAGCAUGAGGGCAAUAUAGGAACUCUGUCUGUGUCACCCUGAUAGACGGCUGUCAAGCUUCCAGUGUCAGGGUGCUCUUCUGUUAUUAGAAAACUUCAAGUGUAGGAAGUUGAAAUGUUCCUCUUUAUAAUUUACACCUGUUUUUUCCCUCGUUUCUGUCCUAUAAGGCGACACAGACCCAGUCUACUUCUUGUUCACUUUAUGGUACUGUGGCCCUGAACAGUGCUGUUGGUUAAAACUUUCUCUGAUGAUGGGUAUGUUUUUAUCUGCUGUGGAAUACUAUAGCUGCUAGCCACAUGCGGCUCCUAAGCACUUGGUAUAUGGCUAUUGUGUCUGAGCGCUAAAUUUUAAGUUUUAUUUCAUUUUAAUUAAUUCACAUUUUUUCAGCUGUGUCCAUGGCACAUGAAAGCUCUCAGGCCAGGGGUCAAACCCGUGCCACAGCAGUGACCUGAGCCAUAGCAGUGACAGUGCUGGAUCCAUAACGCACUGAUCCACCAGAGAACUCCUAAUUAAUUCAAAUUUAAAUAGCCACAUGGGAGUUCCCGUCGUGGUGCAGUGGUUAACGAAUCCGACUAGGAACCAUGAGGUUGCGGGUUCGAUCCCUGCCCUUGCUCAGUGGGUUAAUGAUCCGGCGUUGCCGUGAGCUGUGGUGUAGGUUGCAGACGUGGCUCGGAUCCCGCAUUGCUGUGGCUCUGGCGUAGGCUGGUGGCUACAGCUCCGAUUGGACCCCUAGCCUGGGAACCUCCAUAAGUCGCGGGAGCGGCCCAAGAAAUAGCAAAAAGACAAAAAAAAAAAAAAAAAAAA
rnacentral:lncRNA from 1 species